rnacentral:misc_RNA from 1 species
AAGUCGUAACAAGGUUUCCGUAGGUGAACCUGCGGAAGGAUCAUCAUCAAUUUCAUAUCCCCCCCUCACCGGGGUGGGGGGAUCCAUGAUAAACCCUUCUGUGCACCGUAAACCGUUCACUUUGGCAGGCUUUGGUGGUGAGCGUGAGCUCCCCGCCAACCUCGCCUUCUCCCUCUCCCGAGGGCGAUCGUGAGGCGGCCUGCCGGAGUCCUGCAAUUAAAAACGCGUUUCGAACUAGACUGAAAAUUUCCUUUGAGAAAUCAAAGAACCUAAAACAACUUUCAACAACGGAUCUCUUGGCUCUC